rnacentral:lncRNA from 1 species
AAUCCUGCUGAUUUUAGAUUGGAUGCAGGCUGACAGUAUCGGGCCCACUCUCAGGUCGGGCUCGGGCCAGGCCUAGACUGGGCUAAAGAUAUAUCCGAGCUCAGUUCAAAAUUCAAAUAGAUCCUGUAAUUAAACCCAACCUCGAUCUGAACUAUUUCAAGCCUAGUCCAAAGCCAGAUCUGAAUUCAGACCAGCCCGAAGCCC